rnacentral:lncRNA from 1 species
CUGAGAUGUUCGCUUGAUGCUUAUUUGCUAGCUGUUGAGUCUCAUUUUACUGGCUCCGGUUUGUAUUGAAGCCAACUGAACAGUUGCGUGUCAUGAUUAUAUGCAAAUACAGAUAAAUAAUCACUCGUGACCAAAAACAAAUGUGACUAAAACUGGUUGGAGCACCUUAGGGGAGGAGGUACUCACCCAGUAAUCAUUAAAUUAUCUACCUGUUAAAAUGAAGCUAUAUUUAUGAGCAUAGAAUAAAAACUGAUGUAUCUACCAGUAUCUGCACACUCCCAGACCUGUUUGCGAGCUUCGUUAAAACGUAGAGAAAGUCUUUCAACAAUGCCGUGUACACAGCCCCACUGCUGGAAAGAUUUCGGCGAUAUCAUCAGAAACAAUCUGACAAAGCUGGUGGUGGUGUUUUUUGGGUGCAAAUCAUGUGAGCAGUCCAAGCAGCUGGACCCUGUCAUUGACGAGUUGGCAGGUCAAUUCCCAAAUGUGGUUUUUGCAAAGGUGGACAAAGAUGAAGCUACUGAUGUGGCUGGAUACUGUAACGUCAGUAGCACACCUGUAAUCCAUUUCUACAACAAAGGGAAGAAGGAGAAGGACCUAAUCGCUCCGACUGGUGAAGAACUGAAAAAACGAGUGCAGGAACUGAUAUAGUCUAUGCAACUAACUCACAUUUAUUGAUAAAGAAACCCAACAGUUUGUUCAUGGUCAUGUGAUCACUGUAUUAAGUGCUGUUAGCUUAGCUAUAACCACCACUUUUUAAAGGCAGGUGGAGUUGAUCCAAUUAAGUCCAGAUUUACUCAUUAAUGGCACAAAAACAUGAUUAUGAUCUCUGAAUAAACACAAUUUAACAUCUUUUA